rnacentral:rRNA from 1 species
AACCUACCAUUUAGUGGGGGAUAACUGUUGGAAACGACAGCUAAUACCGCAUAUGUUAUUUAUUUGCAAUAAUAAAUAAUAAAAGGAGCAUUUGCUUCGCUAAUUGAUGGGGAUGCGGCGCAUUAGCUAGUUGGUAAGGUAAUGGCUUACCAAGGCAAUUAUGCGUAGCCGAUCUGAGAGGAUGAACGGCCACAUUGGGACUGAGACACGGCCCAAACUUCUACGGAAGGCAGCAGUAGGGAAUUUUUCACAAUGGGCGAAAGCCUGAUGGAGCAAUGCCGCGUGACUGAUGAAGGUCUUCGGAUUGUAAAGGUCUGUUGUAAGGGAAGAAGUGCUAUCAUAGGAAAUGAUGUUAGUAUUGACCAUACCUUACCAGAAAGCCACGGCUAACUAUGUGCCAGCAGCCGCGGUAAUACAUAGGUGGCAAGCGUUAUCCGGAUUUAUUGGGCGUAAAGCGUGCGUAGACGGUUUUGCAAGUCUGAGGUUAAAUUUAGGGGCUCAACCCCUAACUGCCUUAGAAACUACAUUACUAGAGUAUAGGAGAGGUUAGUGGAAUUUCAUGUGUAGCGGUGGAAUGCGUAGAUAUAUGAAGGAACACCAGUGGCGAAGGCGGCUAACUGGCCUAUUACUGACGUUGUGGCACGAAAGCGUGGGGAGCAAAUAGGAUUAGAUACCCUAGUAGUCCACGCCGUAAACGAUGAGUACUAAGUGUUGCCAUGAGGCAGUGCUGUAGCUAACGCAUUAAGUACUCCGCCUGAGUAGUAUGCUCGCAAGAGUGAAACUUAAAGGAAUUGACGGGGACCCGCACAAGCGGUGGAGCAUGUGGUUUAAUUCGAAGCAACGCGAAGAACCUUACCAGGUCUUGACAUACCUUGCAAAGCUAUAGAGAUAUAGUAGAGGUUAACAAGGAUACAGGUGGUGCAUGGUUGUCGUCAGUUCGUGUCCUGAGAUGUUUGGUUAAGUUCAGCAACGAACGCAACCCUUGUCCUUAGUUGCCAGCAUUAAGUUGGGGACUCUAAGGAGACUGC